GACGAACGCUGGCGGCGUGCUUAACACAUGCAAGUCGAACGGAAAGGCCCUGCUUUUGUGGGGUGCUCGAGUGGCGAACGGGUGAGUAACACGUGAGUAACCUGCCCUUGACUUUGGGAUAACUUCAGGAAACUGGGGCUAAUACCGGAUAGGAGCUCCUGCUGCAUGGUGGGGGUUGGAAAGUUUCGGCGGUUGGGGAUGGACUCGCGGCUUAUCAGCUUGUUGGUGGGGUAGUGGCUUACCAAGGCUUUGACGGGUAGCCGGCCUGAGAGGGUGACCGGCCACAUUGGGACUGAGAUACGGCCCAGACUCCUACGGGAGGAAGGAGUGGGGAGUGUUGCACAAUGGGCGGAAGCCUGAUGCAGCAACGCCGCGUGCGGGAUGACGGCCUUCGGGUUGUAAACCGCUUUCGCCUGUGACGAAGCGUGAGUGACGGUAAUGGGUAAAGAAGCACCGGCUAACUACGUG
rnacentral:rRNA from 1 species